rnacentral:lncRNA from 1 species
UGGCAUGGCAGCCUUUUCUGUACCAGCUGGGCCAAUCCUGUCACUUAACCCGCAGGAAGAUGUCGAGUUUCAAAAGGAGGUGGUAGAGGUUUGCAAGUGCACAACCCAGCAAAAAGAACAAGAACAACUUACUCCUAGAGUAGUCUUUGUGUGCCACCUACUUAAUGAAACCCAGAUCUUUUCGUAUUUCUCCCAGUUUGGCACUGUUACAUGGUUCAGACUGUUCAGAAGUAAAAGGACUGGAAAUAGCAAAGGCUAUGCAUCUGCAAGUUUGAGUUUGAGGAUGUUGCCAAGAUAGUUGAUGAAACAAUGAACAAGUACCUGUUUGGUGAAAGACUCUUGGAGUGUCAUUAUAUGCCACCUGAAAAAGUACACAAAGAGCUCUUUAAAGACUGGAAUAUUCCAUUUAAGCAGCCAUCUUAUCAUCAGUGAAAUGUUAUAAUCAGAAUCGGACACUAACACAAAAGCUACGGAUGGAGGAGUGAUUUAAAAAGAAACAAAGAUUACUCAGGAAGAAAUGAGCUAAAAAAGGAAUUGAUUAUGAUUUUCCUUCUUUGAUUUUACAGAAAACAGAAAGUAUUUUAAAAACUAAUCAUCAGACAUCUACAAAAGGCCAGGUUUUCUGUAAGAAGAAGAAAAGGGUUUUUGGCACUCUUGACACUCCUGAGAAGACCGUGGAUAGCCAGGGCCCCACACCAGUUUGUACACCAGUAUUUUUGGAGAGACAAAAAUCUGAAGUGGCUGAAAUGAAUGAUGAUGAUAAAUAUAAUGAAAUAGUUUUCUAACAGCCCAUAUCCUGUAUAAAAGAAGAAAUACAAGAGACUCAAACACCUACACAUUCACAGAAAAAAGAAGAAAAACAAUC